AUUGAACGCUGGCGGAAUGCUUUACACAUGCAAGUCGAACGGCAGCACGGACUUCGGUCUGGUGGCGAGUGGCGAACGGGUGAGUAACAUAUCGGAACGUAUCCAAUAAUGGGGGAUAACUAAUCGAAAGGUUGGCUAAUACCGCAUACGCCCUACGGGGGAAAGCAGGGGAUCUUCGGACCUUGCGUUAAUGGAGCGGCUGAUAUCUGAUUAGCUAGUUGGGUAGGUAAAGGCUCACCAAGGCGACGAUCAGUAGCUGGUCUGAGAGGACGACCAGCCACACUGGAACUGAGACACGGUCCAGACUCCUACGGGAGGCAGCAGUGGGGAAUUUUGGACAAUGGGCGCAAGCCUGAUCCAGCCAUUCCGCGUGAGUGAAGAAGGCCUUCGGGUUGUAAAGCUCUUUCGCAAGGGAAGAAAACUUACUUUCUAAUAAAGAGUGAGGUUGACGGUACCUUGAUAAGAAGCACCGGCUAACUACGUGCCAGCCGCCGCAGUAA
rnacentral:rRNA from 1 species